rnacentral:misc_RNA from 1 species
AAAGUGCGAUAAGCAAUGCGAAUUGCAGAAUUCCGCGAAUCAUCAGAUCCUUGAACGCAACUGGCGCUGGGAGGAUAUCCUCCCAGCAUGCCUGUUUCAGUGUCUGAAAACCUCAUAUAAUGAUCUUAAUGUGGUUGACAAAGUUAUUACUAACUAAGUCUCCCAUGAAAGAUGUACAUGUGGGUCUUUGGACCCCCUCUUCGAAUUUUGGUCACUGGUCUCUUUCAGUGAUUUCGAGAGGAGGGAACAAUUACUCCGUAUACAUGUAUUUUAGCAAAAACAUCAAACUCUGCAUCUGAAAUCAGGCAAGAUCACCCGCUGAACUUAA